rnacentral:rRNA from 1 species
GUAGGUGGCAAGCGUUGUCCGGAAUUAUUGGGCGUAAAGCGCGCGCAGGCGGUCCUUUAAGUCAGAUGUGAAAGCCCACGGCUCAACCGUGGAGGGUCAUUGGAAACUGGGGGACUUGAGUACAGAAGAGGAAAGCGGAAUUCCAAGUGUAGCGGUGAAAUGCGUAGAGAUUUGGAGGAACACCAGUGGCGAAGGCGGCUUUCUGGUCUGUAACUGACGCUGAGGCGCGAAAGCGUGGGGAGCAAACAGGAUUAGAUACCCUGGUAGUCCACGCCGUAAACGAUGAGUGCUAAGUGUUAGGGGGUUUCCCGCCCCCCUUAGUGCUGCAGCUAACGCAUUAAGCACUCCGCCUGGGGAGUACGGCCGCAAGGCUG